UAAAUUGAGCAUUUCAGAUUUAGGUGCCCACGCACUCUCUUUCUAUCUCUAAUCUCUAUUCUCUCUGCUCUUUCACUUGUUGCGGCUAGGGUUUUUCUCUCUCCUCUCUCUCUAACCCCUAAAGCCUCAAUCUUUCAGAUCUCUCUCUACACUUAAUCUAGAUACUAUCUCCAUCUCAAUACAUCCAUGGUGAUAUUGCUAAGGUAGGUCUCUCUGUCGCCUCUGACAGCAAGAAUCUCGGGGAUUUUAGGGUUUUUGUGGUGGUUUAUUGAAGAAAUGGCGACCAUGAACCCGUUUGAUUUGUUGGGUGACGAUGAUGCCGAGGACCCGUCGCAGCUGAUCGCAGCUCAGCAGCAGAAACUGGCUGCAGCGCCCAAGAAGGUUGUCCCUCCUCAGCCGAUCAAGGCAGGGGCUCAGGUUCAAGAGACCAAGCCGGCUAAGCUGCCUUCCAAGCCAGCACCUCCUGCUCAGGCUGUGAGGGAUGCAAAGAAUGAAGCUGGUCGUGGGGGAGGUCGUGGAGGUGGACGUGGAUAUGGUUAUAGCCGUGGACGUGGUGGUGGUGGUUACAACCGUGAAUCAUCCAAUUAUGAGAACACAUUCAGCAACAGUGGAGCUCCUCCUGGUCAAGGUGCUCUUGAAGAUGGUGAUGGGAAGGAAAGGCAUGGCUAUGGUGGACCUCGUGGGCCUUACCGUGGUGGUCGCCGCGGUGGUUUUGGAAAUGCAGAAGUUGGUGAUGGAGAACGCCGCAGGGUAUUUGAACGCCGUAGUGGGACUGGACGCGGAAGUGAAGUCAAACGCGAAGGUUCUGGUCGUGGCAACUGGGGGUCACAAGCUGAUGAACUUUCUGAGCUGACCGAAGAAGUUGCCAAUGUAACUGAAAAGCAUUUGGGUGAUGAGAAGCCUGUGGAAGAGGGAGAUGCAGCAGAUAGAAAGAUACCCCUGCUAAUGAACCUGAAGAAAAAGAACCUGAGGAUAAGGAAAUGACACUUGAAGAGUAUCAGAAGGUGCUCGAAGAGAAGAGGAAGGCCCUUCAGGCACUUAAGACUACGGAGGAAAGGAAGGUUGAUGCCAAGGAAUUUGAAUCAUUCCAACAGCUAUCAAACAAGAAGGCCAAUGAUGAAAUCUUCAUUAAAUUGGGCUCUGACAAGGAUAAGAAGAAAGAUUCUGAGAAGGAAGAAAAAUCCAAAAAGUCUGUCAGCAUCAAUGAGUUCUUAAAGCCCGCUGAAGGAGAGAGGUUCUACAACCCAGGUGGUCGUGGCCGUGGCCGUGGUCGUGGUUCCAAAGGAGGAGGGUUUAGCAGCAAUUACUCGCAUAGCAGUGCGGCAGCCCCAUCCAUUGAAGACCCUGGGCAGUUCCCUACCUUGGGCGGCAAGUGAGGUUCAUAAGAACCCAAACUAGUCUCAGCGACAUUCGAUUUUCGGGUUCAUUCCUUUCAUCUGAAACAGGAUACUAGCUAGAAUAAUUGAUUUCCUGUAUUUUUUAAAGAAAUUUCAUGACUCAAAACUGUAAAUUUCAGUUUUAUAUGUACCCCAGUAGAUUUUUUGUUUCUUUUUCUUUUUAAAUUGUUACGCAAUGUGACCUGGUUUAUGACUUUGGGGCAUGUGAAAAUCCUUGACCAGUUUUGCUUCAUACGUUGUAUUGACAUGUUACUUUUGUCUCUAGAAGUAGAAGUGGCUCUUAUGUUUCCUA